rnacentral:rRNA from 1 species
UACGAAGGGGGCUAGCGUUGCUCGGAAUUACUGGGUGUAAAGCGUGUGUAGGCGGCCACGUAAGUCAGAGGUGAAAUCCUGGAGCUCAACUCCAGAACUGCCUUUGAUACUGGCGAUCUUGAGUUCGAGAGAGGUGAGUGGAACUGCGAGUGUAGAGGUGAAAUUCGUAGAUAUUCGCAAGAACACCAGUGGCGAAGGCGGCUCACUGGCUCGAUACUGACGCUGAGGUGCGAAAGCGUGGGGAGCAAACAGG